UCUGGUGGUUCUAGCGCAGCGGACCCACCCGUUCCCAUCCCGAACACGGUAGUGAAACGCUGCAGCGCCUACGAUACUGCCUUGGUAACGGGGUGGGAAAAUAGGUCAUCGCCGGGG
rnacentral:rRNA from 1 species